AAGAACUUAUAGCUGGGUCGCUGCAGGACGCCCUUAAAGUCGGCCAAGGUGACGCGCUCGGCGGGCAGGGGCAGCUUCACCAGAUCGAGCCUCAUUAUGUUGCCCAAGCUAGUGUCAAACUCCUGAGGUCACCAUUCUGAGUAGCUGGGAUGAAUGGCUGAUUUUCCUCCUUUUUUAAGGAUCUGAAUGAGGAGAAAGGAAGGAAGAUCACUCAAACAAGCAAGACAGGAAGAACAUCACCAGGGCUCUGGUAAUAUUGAUGUUUGAGAUGACAUCCCCAUAGACUAGAAGAAAGUCAGAGCGGACCAAGG